rnacentral:rRNA from 1 species
UACGGGGGGAGCAAGCGUUGUCCGGAAUUAUUGGGCGUAAAGAGCUCGUAGGCGGUCUGUCGCGUCGGUCGUGAAAACCUGCAGCUUAACUGUGGGCGUGCGGUCGAUACGGGCAUGACUGGAGUUCGGCAGGGGAGACUGGAAUUCCUGGUGUAGCGGUGAAAUGCGCAGAUAUCAGGAGGAACACCGGUGGCGAAGGCGGGUCUCUGGGCCGAUACUGACGCUGAGGAGCGAAAGCGUGGGGAGCGAACAGG